rnacentral:rRNA from 1 species
AUUGAACGCUGGCGGCAGGCCUAACACAUGAAAGUCGAACGAGUGGCGGAGGGGUGAUUAAAGUCUGGGAAACUCCCUGAUGGAGGGGGAUAACUACCGGAAACGGUACCUAAUACCGCAUACCAUCGGAUGUGCCAAAAUGGGAUUAGAUAGUAGGUGGGGUAAAGGCUCACCAAGGCGACGAUCCCUAGCUGGUCUGAGAGGAUGACCAGCCACACUGGAACUGAGACACGGUCCAGACUCCUACGGGAGGCAGCAGUGGGGAAUAUUGCACAAUGGGCGCAAGCCUGAUGCAGCCAUGCCGCGUGUAUGAAGAAGGCCUUCGGGUUGUAAAGUACUUUCAGCGGGGAGGCGUUACCCGCAGAAGAAGCACCGGCUAACUCCGUGCCAGCAGCCGCGGUAAUUC